rnacentral:rRNA from 1 species
GAUGAACGCUGGCGGCGUGCCUAAUACAUGCAAGUCGAGCGAACGGACGAGAAGCUUGCUUCUCUGAUGUUAGCGGCGGACGGGUGAGUAACACGUGGAUACCUACCUAUUAGACUGGGAUAACUUCGGGAAACCGGAGCUAAUACCGGAUAAUAUUUUGAACCGCAUGGUUCAAAAGUAAAAGACGGUCUUGCUGUUACUUAUAGAUUGAUCCGCGCUGCAUUAGCUAGUUGGUAAGGUAACGGCUUACCAAGGCAACGAUGCAUAGCCGACCUGAGAGGGUGAUCGGCCACACUGGAACUGAGACACGGUCCAGACUCCUACGGGAGGCAGCAGUAGGGAAUCUUCCGCAAUGGGCGAAAGCCUGACGGAGCAACGCCGCGUGAGUGAUGAAGGUCUUCGGAUCGUAAAACUCUGUUAUUAGGGAAGAACAUAUGUGUAAGUAACUGUGCACAUCUUGACGGUACCUAAUCAGAAAGCCACGGCUAACUACGUG